rnacentral:rRNA from 1 species
GAGAUGUGUGAUGACGCAUAUCAAUAAGCGGAGGAAAAGAAACUAACAAGGAUUCCCCUAGUAACGGCGAGUGAAGCGGGAAGAGCUCAAAUUUGAAAUCUUCAAGGGUUUCCCUUGACGAAUUGUAGUUUAAAGAAGUGUUUUCUGUUAGAGGAGGUGGUAAAAGUUCUUGGAAUAGGACAUCAUAGAGGGUGAGAAUCCCGUAUUUGGUCACUUUCUACUAGCUUUGUGAUACACUUUCAAAGAGUCGGAUUGUUUGGGAAUGCAGUCCAAAAUGGGUGGUAAAUUUCAUCUAAAGCUAAAUAUUGGCGAGAGACCGAUAGCGAACAAGUACCGUGAGGGAAAGAUGAAAAGAACUUUGAAAAGAGAGUUAAACAGUACGUGAAAUUGUCAAAAGGGAAGCGUUUGACACCAGUGUUGUUUUUCCGAAAAUCAAUUAUGAAUGGCUUGAUUUUAAGUUUCAUGACCUUAAAAGCUUGUUUCUUAUUUUUCAUGUCUUUCGUAAUGCACUUUUCGGUUAACAAGUCAACAUCAAUUUCUUUUGUUGUAAGAGGUUAAGAGGAAGGUGGCUUUACUUUCGGGUAAAGUGUUUAUAGCCUUUUAACUCUGCAAUCGGAGAGAUUGAGGUCUGCAGCGUAGAUCCUUCGGGGUUAGAUACAUUUGUGCUAAGUUAUAGCUUUUCAUAGACAACUUGUUGACUAUGUUAAGUCUUGUAAUUUACUCGCAGAUGCUAUUUUACCUACGCUUAGGAUGUUGACGCAUGAGAUAUACGC